UGAUAGCAUUUAGGCCUGUAGAACCAGCCUCUCUUGAACCAAAAUCUACUCAAAAUCAUACAAGUGGCCAACAUAUUCCCUUUUAUGCUCAAACCAGUUUGAGUUUCUGUCAUUUGCAACCCAAGAGUCCUAAGGAGAAGGGAACCAAACAGUUACUGUGUCCCACUUGCCUGGGGAAUAUCACUUCACUUAAUUGUCACAACAUCCUUAGGAAGUAUGUGUCUUCCCCCACUUGAUAAAUAGGAAAACUAAGACCCAGAGAAGUUAGGAAAGUAGGCACACACGACUAGGAAGUAGUUGAACUUGGAUUCACUCCUACCUCUCCCUGGCUCUGAAACCCAGGUCCUUUCCACUACUGAAUAUAGCAGGAGCAAAUUUCUGUGAUAAAUCACCCUUUCUAGUGGGGUGUGUGGAAAGCACACUAAAUGAGGGAGGCAGAGUCCUGGCUUUUUUUUUUGUCUGGCUCACCAUACCUUUCAUAUGAGCACUUUUCCUCUCUAAAUCUCAGGGAUGGGGUUGUUUUCAUUUUUGUUUUUUUGUCUAUAAAACCAUGGGGUUUGAACUAGAUACUCAUGAUGCAAGUUCUUUCCAGCCCUAAAAAAUGUAGAAGGCCAAUUCUUGACUAUUUUCUUGAAAUUCCCAAGUUAGGUACUAGAAGAACCAGACAUAGAAGCAAGCCAAUAGGCGAAGGUUCCCUCCGUGAACCUUCUCUCCUAAUUUGGGCAAAUGGAUGAGUCUCUCCCAUGUGCCAGGCACUGAACUGAGGUGCUGUACUUCCGGUGAUGAGAAAUAUAUCUGUUUUCCCUGGAUUCAAGAAGCCAAAAGGCCAGCUGGGGCAGUCAUGAAUUAAGCCAUCGCAAUACGAGUGCGUGAGGAGGAAGAACAAAGAAAAAUGAUGGAGGGAGGAGGGAAGAAAAGUGACUUCUGGAAAGCAUUUGGAAACCUACUCAUGAGAAGGAGAAAGAUUUCCCUUUUUGUUGCCUAAGAGUGGAGGUGCCACCCAUCCCAGAUCUGUGAUCUUCCAGGGACCCCCAGUAGCCUGAAUUCCCCUUCAUGGGGUUACAGGGAGAAGAGGGGCCAGGGAGAAGCCCAGCUGAACAGGUCCCAUGGAAGCCAACACUGGCAGAGAGCGACCCUCAUCUCCAGCCCACACUCCAGGCUCCUAACUGUCUUGCUAACUGCACUGGCCAUCACUGCAA